rnacentral:rRNA from 1 species
CGUAGGUGGCAAGCGUUAUCCGGAAUUAUUGGGCGUAAAAGCGCGCGUAGGCGGUUUCUUAAGUCUGAUGUGAAAGCCCAACGGCGUCAACCGUGGAGGGUCAUUGGAAACUGGGAAACUUGAGUACAGAAGAGGAAAGUGGAAUUCCGAUGUGUAGCGGUGAAAUGCGCAAGAGAUAUGGAGGAACACCAGUGCGAAGGCGACUUUCUGGUCUGUAACUGACGCUGAUGUGCGAAAGCGUGGGAGUCAAACAGGAUU